GGACAGAAAGACCCUAUGAAGCUUGACUGUAUCCUGGAAUUGGGUUCGGGCUUUUCUUGCGCAGUCUAGGUGGGAGGCAUUGAAGAUUUCUUUCCGGAGAGAUUGGAGCCAUCAGUGAGAGACCACUCUGGAAAGGCUAGAAUCCUAAGAGUGAUCCCUAAUCGGGACAUUUGACGUUUUCAGGAGGGCAGUUUUUUUGGGGCGAAAGUCCUCCUAAAAGGUAACGGAGGCGCGCAAAGGUUUCCUCAGUCUGGACGGAAAUCAGACGUUACAGAGUGUAAAGGCAAAAGGAAGCUUGACUGCAAGACCUACAAGUCGAGCAGGGGCGAAAGCCGGCCUUAGUGAUCCGACGGUAUCCGCGUGGAAGGGCCGUCGCUCAACGGAUAAAAGUUACUCUAGGGAUAACAGGCUGAA
rnacentral:rRNA from 1 species